GACGAACCGUGCGACCGUUGUUCGGAAUCACUGGGCAUAAAGGGCGCGUAGGCGGCUUUUCAAGUCAGGGGUGAAAUCCGGCAGCUCAACUGUCGAAGUGCCCUUGAUACUGAUGAGCUCGAGGGAGGUAGGGGUAUGUGGAACUUCCGGUGGAGCGGUGAAAUGCGUUGAUAUCGGAAGGAACGCCGGUGGCGAAAGCGACGUACUGGACCUCUUCUGACGCUGAGGCGCGAAAGCUAGGGGAGCAAACGGG
rnacentral:rRNA from 1 species